rnacentral:rRNA from 1 species
AUUGAACGCUGGCGGCAUGCUUUACACAUGCAAGUCGAACGGCAACGAGGAGAAGCUUGCUUCUCUGUCGGCGAGUGGCGAACGGGUGAGUAUAGCAUCGGAACGUGCCAAGUAGUGGGGGAUAACCAAACGAAAGUUUGGUUAAUACCGCGUAAGCUCCAAGGAGGAAAGUAGGGGACCUAAAUAAGGCCUUACGCUAUUUGAUCGGCCGAUGUCGGAUUAGCUAGUUGGUGGGGUAAUGGCUCACCAAGGCAAUGAUCCGUAGCGGGUCUGAGAGGACGAUCCGCCACACUGGGACUGAGACACGGCCCAGACUCCUACGGGAGGCAGCAGUGGGGAAUUUUGGACAAUGGGGGAAACCCUGAUCCAGCCAUGCCGCGUGUAUGAAGAAGGCCUUAGGGUUGUAAAGUACUUUUGUUAGGGAAGAAAAGCUAGUUUUUAAUAAAAAUUAGUGAUGACGGUACCUAAAGAAUAAGCACCGGCUAACUACGUG